rnacentral:rRNA from 1 species
CCUACGGGUGGCAGCAGUGAGGAAUAUUGGUCAAUGGCCGGAAGGCUGAACCAGCCAUGCCGCGUGAAGGUCAGUGCCCUAUGGGCGUUAAACUUCUUUUGUGCGGGAGCAAUAAUGGUCACGUGUGGCCAGUCGAGAGUACCGUACGAAUAAGCAUCGGCUAACUCCGUGCCAGCAGCCGCGGUAAUCCGGGGGAUGCAAGCGUUGUCCGGAAUUACUGGGUGUAAAGGGAGCGUAGGGGGGCGAGAAAGUUGAUUGUUAAAUCUACCGGGUUAACUGGUAGCUGCGUUCAAAACUUGUUGUCUUGAGUGAAGUAGAGGCAGGCGGAAUUCGUGGUGUAGCGGUGAAAUGCGUAGAUAUUAGGAGGAACACCAGUGGCGAAGGCAGCCUGCUAAGCUUUAACUGACGCUGAGGCUCGAAAGCGUGGGGAGCAAACAGGAUUAGAUACCCUGGUAGUC